AUUGAACGCUGGCGGCAUGCUUUACACAUGCAAGUCGAACGGUAACAGGCCUUCGGGUGCUGACGAGUGGCGAACGGGUGAGUAAUGCAUCGGAACGUGCCCAGAGGUGGGGGAUAACGCAGCGAAAGCUGUGCUAAUACCGCAUGUGAUCUGAGGAUGAAAGCGGGGGACCAGGCAGCAAUGUUUGGCCUCGCGCCUUUGGAGCGGCCGAUGUCAGAUUAGGUAGUUGGUGGGGUAAAGGCCUACCAAGCCGACGAUCUGUAGCUGGUCUGAGAGGACGACCAGCCACACUGGGACUGAGACACGGCCCAGACUCCUACGGGAGGCAGCAGUGAGGAAUUUUGGACAAUGGGCGCAAGCCUGAUCCAGCAAUGCCGCGUGCGGGAAGAAGGCCUUCGGGUUGUAAACCGCUUUUGUACGGAACGAAAAGGCUCUGGCUAAUACCUGGGGCUGAUGACGGUACCGUAAGAAUAAGCACCGGCUAACUACGUG
rnacentral:rRNA from 1 species